CCAAUAGCGUAUAUUAAAGUUGUUGCAGUUAAAAAGCUCGUAGUUGAAUUUCGGGAUCAGUUGGUCGGUCGUGCUUAGGUACGUACUGGUCAAAUUGAUUCCUACCUUCUGACGAACCACGAUGUCAUUAAUUUGGUGUCGUGGGAAAUCAGGACUGUUACUUUGAAAAAAUUAGAGUGUUUAAAGCAGGCUCGCGCUUG
rnacentral:rRNA from 1 species